ensembl:lncRNA
GUUGCCUGCUUUCUUAAGAUGUUUCUGCAACAUAGUCUUGGGUCGAGGUAUGGAAGGAGGAAAUCGAGUGUGAAAAAAGGAGAAGUAGUAGAAAGGAAGGAAGGAGAAGAAAUAAAAGAGGAGGAAAACAAAGAAGAAGACAUGUGGGUGCUUGUUGCAGAUGUUAAAAGGCCAGAGAUUCUGUGGUCAGCCAUGCCUGUCCCCCUCCUCCCCCCCUCCCCCUGCACCCCCUCCACCUCCACCACCCUGUACUGCUCACCCACCACAGUCUCGGCCAGACCCUCCUAGUCUCCAGAGUGUUGGAGGAAGAGGAGGGAGGAACGCCCUGUUAGUAGACAUUCAGAAAGGAGCCAGGUUGAAGAAGGUUUUACAGGUCCAUGACCGUAGCGCACCAGUUGUCGACAGUGA